rnacentral:rRNA from 1 species
CUACGGGAGGCUCCAGUGAGGAAUAUUGCACAAUGGGGGGAACCCUGAUGCAGCAACGCCGCGUGGAGGAUGACGCAUUUCGGUGUGUAAACUCCUUUUAUAUGUCAACAAAAUGACGGUAGCAUAUGAAUAAGCACCGGCUAACUCCGUGCCAGCAGCCGCGGUAAUACGGAGGGUGCAAGCGUUACUCGGAAUCACUGGGCGUAAAGGACGCGUAGGCGGGUUGGAAAGUCAGGUGUGAAAUCCUACAGCUUAACUGUAGAAUUGCACUUGAAACUUCUAAUCUAGAGUAUGGGAGGGGGAGAUGGAAUUAGUGGUGUAGGGGUAAAAUCCGUAGAUAUCACUAGGAAUACCUAAAGCGAAGGCGAUCUCCUGGAACAUUACUGACGCUAAGGCGUGAAAGCGUGGGGAGCAAACAGGAUUAGAUACCCUUGUAGUC